rnacentral:lncRNA from 1 species
UACAAUUAUGCUAAAUUUUAUAUUGAUUUUAAUAUUUAUUAAAUUAAAUAAUUAAUAUUAUACAUUAGAAAUGUAUAAAAAUUAUAAAAACUGAGGGCAGCUAGGUGGCUCAGUAGAUUGAGAGCCAGGCUUAGAGAUGGGAGGUCCUAGGUUCAAAUAUGACUUUGGCUAUUUCCUAGCUGUGUGAUCCUGGGUAAGUCACGUAACCCCCACUGACUAGUCCUUACUGCUCUUCUGCCUGGGAACCAAUGCAUAGUAUUGAUUCUAAAACAGAAGGUAAGGAUUAAAAAAAAACAACAAGCCACCUAAGGUUUCAGCCCACAGCCUGUUUCUAAAAUGCAACUAGGAUUGCCUCCUAUGUUCUCCACACUUGAGAUUCAAACUAUCAGUGUUGGCUUGAGAAUACUGCUGACUGAUGGUGGAAGACUCUCCAGAUGACCACCCUGGAGGCAGGUACAUGACCUCUGGUGAUGCAGAGAGGGAACCUUGUCAUGAGUUCAUCAGAACCUUUAAGACCCAGCUGUUGAAGUCCAGUGGCAAGACAAAAGUCAGGAUGACUUGGGACACAGAGGAUGAUCCUUUGAUCUUUGAUGUUUCACCAAGCUUGGAUUGCAAGUUGCUUAUACCCAUCAGGCUCUUACCCUUCAGAUGA